ensembl:lncRNA
GGUCAGUCCUCAGAAGAGGAUCGCAAAAUUGAAACGUCAGGAUUCCGUGGCUCAAGAUGCUAGAAAUCUGGCACCAAGAUAGGUUUGAUUCCCCGUCCAUUAAAAUAUUUCUUCUUAAAUCUCACUUCCAAAUCCAGAGAUUCAGGUGUGAAGCUUAAUUCCAUAGCCUCCCUCCAAAUAAUUAUCUUCCAGGUCAUCUGGGCGGCUCUGCUCCCUGUGUCUUCACCCUUUUUGGACCAGUGACUAGUCAAGACACGCUCCUCCCAUGGCGAUGAGAGAGGCGCAAGAGGGCACACCCAUGCACUCACGCACAUUCAAGCCCCUGGUUGUGUCACAUCUGCCAAAGCAAGUCACAUGGCCAAGGCCAAAAUCAAGGGGUGGGAAAAGGAUAUCCCCCUUAAUGGAGGUGAAAGGAUGAAGGAGUAAACAUUUUUGACAAUAACCUACCACAGCAGCUGAGGAUUCAUCCUGAACAUUUUCAAAUACAUAAAACUCCAGGUAUAACUCCAAACCAAACAUGAUGAAAGGAGGCAUUUGGAUAGACCACAGAAAGAUACACCAUCACAUUGCACACCAGCUGCUGUAAACACUUCAGCUUUCUGCAGCAACCAGAGGAAGGAAUUAUGACUCAGCAUGCUUCUUCAGUGGUUGGUUCUGGACAGCCUUUUUAAACUCUAAUCCAAAAUAGAAAUAACGUACCUCCCAUGUGUUCAAGAAGCUUGCACUCCUGGGGAUGACAAUGCCCUUUCCAUCUGCAGGAAAGAAGUUCUCCUCUGAUCGCGACGGCAAAGCAGCAAACAUUUGCUGACCUCCAUAAUUCCGCACUGAACUCUUCCCUCAGACAGGACACCCUAAUUUCUCUGUUACUUUAUUCCUUUGCCAAAUUCUAAUAGUUUAAAAUCAAAAAAAGAUGAAGUUAAAUAAUAGCUGUUGUGUGUUUUUGAGAAAGUUUGAGUUUGGUUACUGUGGGUUUUCUAAGAUAUUGCUUUCCUUAGUUUAUACAAAAAAGCAUUUAUUGAUCUAGGUUUUAGACCAAGUGCUGAUGACUCAGACAUGAAUAACAGUUCCUCUGGAGUGUUUCAAGUAAAACAAAUAUGUAAAAACUAAGCUAUAAUACAAUUUAAUAUGUCUUUUGACAGAGGUGCACAAGCUGUGGGAACAUGGGAGAAAACAUAAUUGAUUCUGUGGUUCCAGGGAAGCCUUCAGAGAGCAGAAGGCAUUUGGGCAAAUCUCGAAGGAUGGGCACGGGCUCCGUAAGUGGAGUGAGAGCACUUAAGGCAGAGAACAGGAAGAAUAAAAGCACCAGUACAUCAAAGUGCAGUGUUGGCUGUGAUUUCCUUUCAUUCCAGAUGAGACAAGUCAGGAAUCCGGGGACAGACAUGCAUCUGGGAGGCUUGCCCUCCUCAACGCAGACUUAGCUCAGACCCACUGCAAGCAGAAAUUUCAGGACUGCAGAAUCAGGCUGAUUAAAUCAUAGGGGUCAGACUUCCUUGAGAGCAAAAUGUUUGCAAACACCUUCAUGGAAAUGGGACAAUGGACUCAAGAGAACUGCAGGUUUUCCAGACUACCAGGAAACAUGAUUUCUGGAGGAGGAGCCACAUUCUUCUAGAGGGAACCCAAGGGGAAUGCCACAAGGUUUUAGGAACUACAAGUGGUCCCAGCUUCCUCC